rnacentral:rRNA from 1 species
GAAUCCGUGACGGAUCCUUCGGGUGACGGAUCGGAUGGAGAGCGGCGGACGGGUGAGUAACGCGUAGGUAACCUGCCCUGUACAGAGGGAUAGCCACUGGAAACGGUGAUUAAUACCUCAUAAUGCCGGAUCUGCACAUGCAGGACCGGUCAAAGUUUUUUCGGUACAGGAUGGACCUGCGUCUGAUUAGCUAGUUGGUGGGGUAACGGCUCACCAAGGCGACGAUCAGUAGCCGACCUGAGAGGGUGAUCGGCCACAUUGGAACUGAGACACGGUCCAAACUCCUACGGGAGGCAGCAGUGGGGAAUAUUGCACAAUGGGGGAAACCCUGAUGCAGCAACGCCGCGUGAACGAAGAAGGCUCUUGGGUCGUAAAGUUCUGUUCUGAGGGAAGAAGAAAGUGACGGUACCUCAGGAGAAAGCCCCGGCUAACUACGUGCCAGCAGCCGCGGUAAUACGUAGGGGGCAAGCGUUGUCCGGAAUUAUUGGGCGUAAAGAGUACGUAGGCGGUCUGGUAAGCGCAAGGUGAAAGGCAUAGGCUCAACCAAUGUCAGCCUUGCGAACUGUCAGACUUGAGUGCAGGAGGGGAAAGUGGAAUUCCUAGUGUAGCGGUGAAGUGCGUAGAUAUUAGGAGGAACACCAGUGGCGAAGGCGACUUUCUGGACUGUAACUGACGCUGAGGUACGAAAGCGUGNGGAGCAAACAGGAUUAGAUACCNUGGUAGUCCACGCCGU